AGAGUUUGAUCCUGGCUCAGGAUGAACGCUAGCGACAGGCCUAACACAUGCAAGUCGAGGGGCAGCGGAGAGGUAGCAAUACCUUUGCCGGCGACCGGCGCACGGGUGAGUAACACGUAUGCAAUCCACCUGUAACAGGGGGAUAACCCGGAGAAAUCCGGACUAAUACCCCAUAAUAUGGGUUCUCCGCAUGGAGGGUCCAUUAAAGAGAGCAAUUUUGGUUACAGACGAGCAUGCGCUCCAUUAGCCAGUUGGCGGGGUAACGGCCCACCAAAGCGACGAUGGAUAGGGGUUCUGAGAGGAAGGUCCCCCACAUUGGAACUGAGACACGGUCCAAACUCCUACGGGAGGCAGCAGUGAGGAAUAUUGGUCAAUGGUCGGCAGACUGAACCAGCCAAGUCGCGUGAGGGAAGACGGCCCUACGGGUUGUAAACCUCUUUUGUCGGAGAGUAAAGUACGCUACGUGUAGCGUAUUGCAAGUAUCCGAAGAAAAAGCAUCGGCUAACUCCGUGCCAGCAGCCGCGGUAAUACGGAGGAUGCAAGCGUUAUCCGGAUUUAUUGGGUUUAAAGGGUGCGUAGGCGGCACGCCAAGUCAGCGGUGAAAUUUCCGGGCUCAACCCGGACUGUGCCGUUGAAACUGGCGAGCUAGAGUGCACAAGAGGCAGGCGGAAUGCGUGGUGUAGCGGUGAAAUGCAUAGAUAUCACGCAGAACCCCGAUUGCGAAGGCAGCCUGCUAGGGUGCGACAGACGCUGAGGCACGAAAGCGUGGGUAUCGAACAGGAUUAGAUACCCUGGUAGUCCACGCAGUAAACGAUGAAUACUAACUGUUUGCGAUACAAUGUAAGCGGUACAGCGAAAGCGUUAAGUAUUCCACCUGGGGAGUACGCCGGCAACGGUGAAACUCAAAGGAAUUGACGGGGGC
rnacentral:rRNA from 1 species